UCUUAAGCACUAUUCAUCAUCAUUUUUUAUUUUGAUUCAGGUUGACUAUUUUCUAUCUUCGGUUCUGAAAUAUGUAAAUAUGUUAAUGGACAUAUUUACCCAUAUAUACCUUAUACAUGGAUAUUUAAAGUUAGUCAUUUCAUAUGUUCACGUUCUCAAAGCGUGAUCACGGCUUAUCUUUCCUUAGUAUGUACCAUAAGGCGCCAGACAGGCAUUCAAAACCGGGGCCAACACAGCUACAGACUACAGGCAAGUGACGCGAGAAGACCAGUGAUUUUAGAAUGGAAUUCCACUGAAGUAGCAUUUGUCGAUCCUUCUAUCUUCAAUACCAGUUUAAACAGAAUUCAAUGAUAAAGAUAGAUAAAAUUUUUCUCAGUACGGAGCAAGAAAAAGAAAAUGAUUAAAAAAUAAAACCCAUUACAUUUAAAAAUGAAGAAUGUAGGGUCAAUUGGCUCAAUUGCCAACUCAAUGAAACUUAUUUGAAUUAAAAAAGUCCAAAUUCAACGCAAUGUCUGAGCUGAUUCCGGCAGAUGUAAAUCUUCUUAACUUUCAAAUUCUAGGAAUGAGUAAAAUACUUUUAAACAUUAUUAUUUUAACUAUUUAAUGUUAAUUUUAAAAACUUUCACAUAUGCCGCUCCUGGUUUUUUUGUUAUUUAAUUCCGCGCGUGGCAACAGCGUACAUUCGAUAGUGUAAUAGAGACAGCACCAACAAACGGGAAUGAGUGAUAAAAAAGGAAGAUACCAACAAAGUCCCCUUGUAUAGCUUGUAAAUUGUAAAUACAAAACCCACGUUCUUUGUAUAAAGGGGCUUCAGUCAUCUACCAAAAUAUAUUUUUAAAGUUUUUAAAUCGUAAAGUUCAAGAUUUUUUAAUCUUAUCGUCAGUACAUAUUUCAGUUUGUAUAUUUUUUACUUUUUUCUUGAUUAUGAGGCAACCAUCUGUUUUAACUGGAGCAUUGGUUAACACUAAUUAAACAUUUGCCGAUUGAUAAGCUAAAUAUUUUGAAAUAUUUGGUUGUAAAUUCUUCAACCAGCAACAAGAUAACCGAUAAAUAGAUAACAAAAAUAGAAGGUGAGAUUUUAUUUAAAUGGUAUAAGUGUUAUUACUUAAAAAAUAAUAUGAGAACAUACCCUUCAGAUGAACUCAAAUCCAAACAGUUGUGAGUAUAUAAUAAAUAAAUUGUAAAACACUUUUAAAAUAAUAAACAAAACUAAAAUAAAUUUAAAAUUUUAAGUCAAUAUAAAAGCAUGAUUGAGUAAAAUAAUAAAUUUGCUUAAUUUUGCAGAUGAUAAUAAGAUAAAAACUAAAAACGUUUCACACUAAUAAAUGAAACGCCUUCAUCAGUUAAGUUUGUGAUUUUCAAAUUCGCACAUUUCACUUUGUUUAACUUAGGAAUGGUAUGCUGGGUAGAUGGUAAAUGCUAUUCGGUUGUAAUGGCGUCGAAUAAAGGUGCAAUCCAGAGUUUUUCAGUUCCACUUAGCUUUUCUUUAGCUGUUACCUAUACAGUAUGCCGUAGUCAGCCACCAGAACAGCUGCCAAGACAACCAGCAUACACUGUUCAACAAUGCCGUCUUUCCCCACUAUUGUUGAUAUUAAAUUUUUUAUUUAUAUGUGUACAGAUAAUAUAUUAUAUUAUAUUGUACUGAUAAAUAAAAGAGAACGUUUUAUUUUAA